UUGGUUCCGACACCUAGAAAGAACCAAUCAAAACUCGCGUCUUAUCCAGCAUUCAUGCAGUCAUCAUGAUGACGGUUGUUUCACAUUAACACAAAACCUUUUAAGGGCGAAAGAGUGAUCAAUUUUGAUGACAUUAGCGAUGAGCUGUAGCAGUGUUCCCAACUUGAACAUCAUCUUCUGUGUACAUAUCUGAGGCAGAGCCAGCUUGCCCAUCUGACCUCUGUUGUGGACAACCGAGUAAGAGCCAGCUUGCAUGUCAUCUGUUGUGGACAUCCGUGUUAGAGCCAGCUUGCACGUCCUCUAUUGUGGACAUCAGUGUUAGUGCUAGCUUGCAUGUCAUCUGUUGUGAACAUCCGUGUAAGAGCCAGCUUGCACGUCAUCUCUUUUGGACAUCAGUGUUAGAGCCAGCUUACACAUCCUCUGUUGUGGACAUCCGUGUAAGUGCUAGCUUGCACGUAAUCUGUUGUGGACAUCUGUGUUAGAGCCAGCUUGCACGUCAAAUGUUUAGGACAUCAGUCAGAGAUAGCUUGCAUGUUAUAUACUUGUGGACAUUAGUCAGAGCCAGCAAGGACAAUCUCUGUUGUGGAUAUCUGUCUUAGAGCUUGCACGUCAUCGGUUGUUCACAUCCUUGUAAUAACCAGCUUGCACAUCAACUGAUGUGGAAAUCUGAGUCAGAGCCAGCUUGCACAUCAUCCGUUGUGGACAUCUCUUUAUGAUUCUACUCUUUGCUUAGAUUGACACUGUGACUUUAGUGUAAUAUGUUACAACCUUAAGCUAUUCCUAUUGUUGAAUAAAAAUAGUGUGUCAUUAAAAUAUAUUUUGUUGGAUAAUUUGUAUGUUGAGUUGUAUUGUUUGGUCAUUGCAAAGUAUCAAGUUAUUUUAAGACAAGAAAAAGCUCAUCUUUCAUCAUGUAUUUAUAUUAUAAUUCUUGAAUGUUAGUGAAGGUACAGUUCAUAUAAUUAAAAGCAAUUUUAAUAUGAUUGCUUGUGUUUUAUUGCACAGUGAAUACCAUCUUGUCUUUAUGCUGACAUAUAGAACGGAAAAAUAGUAAACUGUCGUUUUUAUAUGCAAUGGGAUUGUAUAUGAAGACUUGCAUGUUCAGAUGAAAAAAUUGCCAUAAUUUUUCUCUUUAUAUUUUAUUCCUGCUAAAUGGUUGAUGCAAUAAAGUUAAGUCUUUAA